rnacentral:lncRNA from 1 species
UGAAGACUGAAGCUUGCUGAAUAAACUGCUGUCAGAAGAACUGGUGGUCGUGUCGUUCUUGCUGAUUGAGAGCGGAUGCGACAAGGGCCUUCCCACCUCAGGUGCACUGUGAACAAUCAAGAGCUUCUGAAAGAGAAAAUCUUUCUGGAGAGAAGGCCUUGAGCCCAUGAGCUGUCAAAGACAGUGACACCUGUGAAGAGAUCUUUUCUGUACCCACUGACAACAUGGAAAGAUGUGGAAACCAAGGAGCUAGCUUCCCGGAUGUGCUAUUUCUACCUAUCUACACUGGGACAUCAUUGUUAAAAGACUCUUAGGCUGUGUGUUCCAGUCAAUGGCAAUGGAAACAGCUGCCCAUCCAAGGAUAAUCUAUUAGAUUAAAGAACUCUGCAGAUUAUUUUCCUUGCAGAUAACUAAAGCAUAAAUAAGACUACAGGUGUUGUCACAUUUAUAAACACCCACAAUUCCAGACCUCACCGAAAUUUGUCUGUUCUCUUUAGCUCUGGAUAUUAUCAAUAAAGAACAAGAUGUUUAUUUACUCCUCAGCUGAGUCACUGAUAGGCUUGCCAAGGAGGGAAUUAAAAGGAACUUUCAUUUUAUUCACCAGCCUCAGGGUUCAGGCCUCACAAGAUGACAUGAUAGCUUGCUAAAGACAAGAGUGGGAUGGCAGUGGUAGGGGGUGAGGACAGCACAUUUCCAUCAUUGAUUAGAUCUCAGAAGUGAGCUAUCAUAUGGUCUCAAUCUGAUCCAUGCGUCUAUCAACACACACACUCACACACGCACUCUCACACAUACACACACUCAUACACAGACUCACACACAGACUCACACCACUUAUACACACUCACACAUACACACACUCACAUACUCACACAUACUCACAUACACACAUACACAUACACACACUCACAUACACUCACACACACACACUCACACACUCACACAUACAUACAUACACACACACUCUCUCAAACACACACACUCACAUACACUCAC